CAUGGUUGUCGUCAGCUCGUGUCGUGAGAUGUUGGGUUAAGUCCCGCAACCGAGCGCAACCCUCGUCCUAUGUUGCCAGCGGGUCAUGCCGGGGACUCAUGGGAGACUGCCGGGGUCAACUCGGAGGAAGGUGGGGAUGACGUCAAAUCAUCAUGCCCCUUAUGUCUUGGGCUUCACGCAUGCUACAAUGGCCGGUACAAAGGGCUGCGAUACCGCGAGGUGGAGCGAAUCCCAAAAAGCCGGUCUCAGUUCGGAUUGGGGUCUGCAACUCGACCCCAUGAAGUCGGAGUCGCUAGUAAUCGCAGAUCAGCAACGCUGCGGUGAAUACGUUCCCGGGCCUU
rnacentral:rRNA from 1 species